rnacentral:rRNA from 1 species
GACGAACGCUGGCGGCGUGCCUAAUACAUGCAAGUCGAACGAAGCUUUUUUAACUGGUGCUUGCACCGACUUAAACAACUGAGUGGCGAACGGGUGAGUAACACGUGGGUAACCUGCCCCAAAGCGGGGGAUAACAUUUGGAAACAGAUGCUAAUACCGCAUAACCACAGAAACCACAUGGUUUCUGUGUCAAAGAUGGUUUCGGCUAUCACUUUGGGAUGGACCCGCGGCGUAUUAGCUAGUUGGUAAGGUAAUGGCUUACCAAGGCAAUGAUACGUAGCCGAACUGAGAGGUUGAUCGGCCACAUUGGGACUGAGACACGGCCCAUACUCCUACGGGAGGCAGCAGUAGGGAAUCUUCCACAAUGGGCGCAAGCCUGAUGGAGCAACACCGCGUGAGUGAAGAAGGGUUUCGGCUCGUAAAACUCUGUUGUUAAAGAAGAACGUAUCUAAGAGUAACUGCUUAGGUAGUGACGGUAUUUAACCAGAAAGCCACUGCUAACUACGUGCCAGCCGCCGCAGUAA